UGACACCAGAGAAACCAACAACAGGGUGUC
rnacentral:piRNA from 1 species